CAUAAGCAGUGGCUUGUUAAGGGAACCCACCAAGCCUUAGCGAAAGCGAGUCUCCGUAGGGCAAUUGUCACUGCUAAUGGACCUGAACCUGAGUGAUCUAUUCAUGAUCAGGAUGAAGUUUUGGGUGAAACUAAAUGGAGAUCCAAACCGACAGAUGUUGAAGAAUCAGCAGAUGAGUUGCGGUUAGGGUUGAAAAGGCCACUCGAACCUAGAGCCAGG
rnacentral:ncRNA from 1 species